AUAAAUUCAUGAUAACAAUAAUUUAUUUUAACAGAUACGGAAUUUAAGCAAAUACCGAUUCUUUCGUGGCAAGGCUGCCAUGCUAUCAAUCACUCUUUCCUUCUUGGGCACCAAGUUCUUGCAAAUAAUGCUCUGCAUCCAACGCGGCCAUGCAUCCUGAACCAGCAGCAGUGAUGGCUUGCCGGUACUUCUUAUCUUGCACAUCACCAGCAGCGAAUACACCUCUAAUGCUAGUCUUUGUCGUCCCUGGCACGGUUGCAACAUAUCUCUCAGCAUCCAACUGCAGUUGUCCAUCCAAAAAUUUGGUAGCUGGUUCAUGCCCAAUAGCAAAGAACAAACCCGAAACCUCCAAAUCUGAUACCUCUCCAGUAACCACAUUUUCCACCUUUAAUCCCCCCAAAGACUUCUCCCCAUAUGCCUCCACCACAGCAGAAUUCCAAAUCACCUCUAUCUUAGGGUUACUCAAUGCCCUAUUUCGCAUAAUCUUCGAAGCCCUAAAUUCAUCUCUUCUAUGAAUUAUAUACACUUUUGAACCAUAUUUCGUCAGAAAUGUAGCUUCUUCCAUUGCUGAAUCUCCACCGCCGAUCACCGCCAAAGGCUUGUUACGGAAGAUCGGAGCUGCGCCGUCACACACAGCGCAAGCCGAGAUCCCGCGAUUCCAAUAUCCAUUUGCCCCGUCGCCGGAUCCUGGAAAUUCAAGCCGCUUGGCAACAGCACCAGUAGCGAUAAUAACAGUAUCUGCUAGUACAGUCCUUUCAUCGGACAUGACCUUGAAAGGACUAGCGGAGAAAUCAACGUUACUUACAGUUUCAGUGAAGAUCUGUGUACCGAAUCGAACAGAUUGAGCACGGCACCGGUCCAUGAGUUCACCACCGGCAAGUCCUUCCGGGAAACCGGGGAAAUUCUCGACCUCGGAGGUGGUUGUGAGCUGCCCACCUGGCGCGAUAUCAUUGGCCAUCCAUCCUUCAAAAAGGAUCGGUUUUAGCUCGGCGCGUGCUGCGUAAAUGGCGGCGGUGUGAGCUGCCGGUCCACUUCCGAUGAUGCAGACUUUGGUCUUCUGUAUGUCCGCCAUAGAUGUUAUGUUAGCGACCCGGUAAUAAUGGUGGUUGGUGGCGG
rnacentral:misc_RNA from 1 species